rnacentral:lncRNA from 1 species
CAACUCUGUGCUUGACAAGACCAUCGUCAACCUCGACGAUAGAACUCAAGUUGCUUAUGGUUCAAAGAACGAGAUCAUCCGUUUCGAAGAAACCCUUUAUGGAACAUCAAGACUCAAGAAUGUUCCCAUUGGAGUUACUGCUUAGAACCUCAUUUUAAAUAAAAACUGAAAGCAUGUUUUUUUUCCAAAAAAAGGAUAAUGUAUGUACUUUUGCUAUUGGGUUAUAUGAGAAGCAACAAAACUAUUGCCAUUGUUUUAACUAGGUAAGAAACCAUGCAAUAUUGCAUAGAAGCUCAUUUUAUAAAAUAAAAAUAUAUCACGUUUUAUAUAAUUACUUUUGGAAAAUACAUGAAUUACAAAAUUAUGUUGCAUACAGCUAUAUUUCUUUAUUAAUAUUACUAAAAAUCUAUAUUUUAUUUUUAGGUUAGUUGUAAUGAAAUUACAAAGAUGUUAAUACCAAAUAAAAUAUAUGUUUUAUUAUCCGUUUAGCCGAGAUAUUUAGAAAUCUCAAAAACAACUGAAUAUUUGAAACUAAUUAGAAAGUAAACACAUUCUAAUAUAAUCAUUUACUAAAUUAGUAAGGUACAAUGUGGGACCUGAAAUAUAAUUACUGCUUAGAACCUCAUUUAAAAUAAAAACUGAAAGCAUGUUUUUUCUCCAAAAAAAAAAGAAUGUUUAUUUUUCCAUAAAACGGAUAAUGCAUGUACUUUUGCUAUUGGGUUAUAUGAGAAGCAACAAAACUAUUGCCAUUGUUUUA